UACGUAGUUAGCCGUGGCUUUCUCAUAAGGUACCGUCAAUUGAUAGUCAUUUCCUCCUAUCACCUUUCUUCCCUUAUAACAGAAUUUUACAACCCGAAGGCCUUCUUCAUUCACGCGGCGUUGCUCGGUCAGGCUUUCGCCCAUUGCCGAAGAUUCCCUACUGCUGCCUCCCGUAGGAGUCUGGGCCGUGUCUCAGUCCCAGUGUGGCCGUUCACCCUCUCAGGUCGGCUACGCAUCGUCGCCUUGGUAGGCCUUUACCCCACCAACUAGCUAAUGCGCCGCAGGCUCAUCCAUCAGUGAUGCCAGGAGCAUCUUUAAACUUUCGUCCUAUCCGGUAUUAGCGAUCGUUUCCAAUCGUUGUCCCCGUCUGAUGGGCAGAUCACCUACGUGUUACUCACCCGUUCGCCGCUUCCCACCGAAGUGGUUCGCUCGACUUGCAUGUAUUAGGCACGCCGCCAGCGUUCAUCCUGAGCCAGGAUCAAACUCU
rnacentral:rRNA from 1 species